UGGGGAAUUUUGGACAAUGGGCGAAAGCCUGAUCCAGCAAUGCCGCGUGUGUGAAGAAGGCCUUCGGGUUGUAAAGCACUUUUGUCCGGAAAGAAAUCCUUGGCUCUAAUACAGUCGGGGGAUGACGGUACCGGAAGAAUAAGCACCGGCUAACUACGUGCCAGCAGCCGCGGUAGUACGUAGGGUGCAAGCGUUAAUCGGAAUUACUGGGCGUAAAGCGUGCGCAGGCGGUUUGCUAAGACCGAUGUGAAAUCCCCGGGCUCAACCUGGGAACUGCAUUGGUGACUGGCAGGCUAGAGUAUGGCAGAGGGGGGUAGAAUUCCACGUGUAGCAGUGAAAUGCGUAGAGAUGUGGAGGAAUACCGAUGGCGAAGGCAGCCCCCUGGGCCAAUACUGACGCUCAUGCACGAAAGCGUGGGGAGCAAACAGGAUUAGAUACCCUGGUAGUCCACGCCCUAAACGAUGUCAACUAGUUGUUGGGGAUUCAUUUCCUUAGUAACGUAGCUAACGCGUGAAGUUGACCGCCUGGGGAGUACGGUCGCAAGAUUAAAACUCAAAUGAAUUGACGGGGUCAUAGCUGUUUCCU
rnacentral:rRNA from 1 species